rnacentral:lncRNA from 10 species
UCAGGAGAUUGAGACCAUCCUGGCUAACACGGUGAGACCCCGUCUCUACUAAAAAUACAAAAAAAAAAAAAAAAUUAACCAGGUGUGGUGGUGGGUGCUUGUAGUCCCAGCUGCUCGGGAGGCUGAGGCAGGAGAAUGGCGUGCACCCGGGAGGCAGAGCUUGCCGUGAGCCAAGAUCGCGCCACUGCACUCCAGCCUGGGUGACAGAGCAAGACUUCACCUCCAAAAAAAAAAAAAAAAUUUAGGCCGGGCAUGGUGGCUCAUGCCUAUAAUCUCAGCACUUUGGGAGGCUGAGGCGGGUGAAUCACCUAAGUUCAGGAAUUCAAGACCAGCCUGGCCAACAUGGCGAAACCCCAUCUCUACUAAAAAUACAAAAAUUGGCUGGGCGUGGUGGCACACACCUGUGAUCCCGGCUACUCGGGAGGCUGAGACAGCAGAAUUGCUUGAACCCAGGAAACAGGUUGCAGUGAGCCAAGACUACGCCACUGCACUCCAGCCUGGGCAAUAAAGCAAGACCUUGUCACAUACACACAAAAAAUUGGCCAGGUGCGGUGGCUCAUGCCUGUAAUCCCAGCACUUUGGGGGGCUGAGGCAGGCGGAUCACGAGGUCAGGAGAUCAAGACCAUCCUGGCUAACAUGGUGAAACCCCAUCUCUACCAAAAAUACAAAAAAAUUAGCUGGGCGUGGUGGCGGGCGCCUGUAGUCCCAGCUACUCGGGAGGCUGAGGCAGGAGAAUGGCGUGAACCCGGGAGGCGGAGCUGGCAGUGAGCCGAGAUCGCACCACUGCACUCCAGCCUGGGCGACAGAGCAAGACUCCAUCUCAAAAAAAAAAAAAAAAAAAUUGGCUGGAUGCGGUGGCUCAUGCCUGUAAUCCCAGCACUUUGGGAGGCUGAGGCGGGUGGAUCACCUGAGUUCGAGAGUUCACGACCAGCCUGACCAAUGUGGAGAAAUCCCCAUCUCUACUGAAAAUACAAAAAAUUAGCCGAGUGUGGUGGCACAUUCCUGUAAUCCCAGCUACUCGGGAGGCUGAAGCAGGAGGACUGCUUGAGCCCAGGAGGUCAGGCUGCAGUGAGCUAUGAUCACGCCAACGCACUUCAGCCUCGGCAACAGAGUGGGAUCUUGUGUCUAAAAAAUAAAAACGAAAAAUAAAUGCACACAUGCACUUACUCAUCUGUAAACACGGAUAGUAAUUUCAAGUGUCCUUAUAUAGUAAUUCUCUGAACAAGGAUUGGUAUGUGGUUUUUAAUUUCAGAAAAACUGAAAGCCAUAUUAAAUUUAGUUACCCAGGCUGGAGUGCAGUGGUGUGAGCUCAGCUCACUGCAGGCUCGACCUCCUGGGCUCAAGUGAUCCUCCCACUUCAGCUUCCCAAGUAACUGGGACCACAAGUGCGCACCACCACAGCCAGUUAAUUUUUUAUAUUUUAUGUGGAGAUGAGGUCUUGCCAUGUUACCCAUACUCAUCUCAAACUCUGUGCUCAAGCAAUCUUCCCACCUUGGCCUCCCAAAGUGCUGGGAUUACAGGCGUGAGCCACCGCGUCUGGCUCCAGCCUCUUUUCAACAACACUGGUCAUUAGGCUUGGUUUUCUUUUUCUUUUUUUUUUUUUUUUUUGAGACGAGUCUUGCUCUGUUGCCCAGGCUAGUAUAGUGGUGCAAUCUCAGCUCACUGCAACCUGAGCCUCUGGGGUUCAAUCAAUUCUCCUGCCUCAGCCUCUCAAGUAGCUGGGAUUACAAGCCUAUGCCACCACGCCUGGCUAAUUUUUGUACUUUUAGUAGAGACGGGGUUUUACCAUUUUGGCCAGGCUGCUUUCAAACUCCUGACCUCGUGAUCCACCCAUCUCAGCCUCCCAGAAUGCUGGGAUUACAGGCAUGAGCCACUGCGCCCGGCCAGAAAAGACAUUUCUACAUUGUGCAUGUGCCAUGGGGUAUGUCUCAAAUGAAACUGUCUUGCCUCCACAUCCCAAAGAUAACUGAAAUUUCAGUUUAAACUCCAGUUAAGCAGAAUAGUUGUCAGCCAAGCACGGUGGCUCAUACUUGUAAUCCCAGCAUUUUGGUAGGCCAAGGAGGGAGGAUUGCUUAAGCCCAGGAGUUCAAGACCAGCCUGGGCAAAUAUUGAGACCCUGUCUCCACAAAAAUUAAAAUUAAAAUUAACUGGGGCUGGGCAUGGUGGCUCACGCCUGUAAUCCCAGCACUUUGGGAGGCCAAGGCAUGCGGAUUGCCUGAGGUCGGGAGUUCGAGAAACCCCAUCUCUACUAAAAAUAUAAAAAUUAGGUGGGUGUGGUGGCACACACCUGUAAUCCCAGCUAUUCAAGAGGCUGAGGCAGGAGAAUUGCUUAAACCCGGGAGAUGGAGGUUGCAGUGAGCCAAGAUUGCCCCACUGCACUCCAGCCUGGGCGACAGAAUGAGACUCUGUCUCAAAAAAAAUAAAAAUAGGCCUUGUGCAGUGGCUUACGCUUGUAAUCCCAGCACUUUGGGAGGCCGAGGCAGGCGAAUCACAAGGUCAGAAGUUCGAGACCAGCCUGGCCAACAUGGAGAAACCCCAUCUCUACUAAAAAUACAAAAUUAGCCGGACGUUGUGGUGCAUGCCUGUAAUCCUGGCUACUCAGGAGGCUGAGGCAGGAGAAUCGCUUGAACCCGGGAGUCAGAGGUUGCGGUGAGCCAAGAUUGUGCCAUUGCACUCCAGCCUGGGCAAUAAGAGCGAAAUUCCGUCUCAAAAAAAUAAUAAAAUAAAAUAAAAUAGGGGCUAGGAGCAGUGGCUUGCGCCUGUAAUCCCAGCACAUUGGGAGGCCGAGGCAGGUGGAUCACCUGAGUCAGGAGUUCAAGACCAUCCAGGCCAACAUGGUGAAACCCUGCUGUCUCUACUAAAAAUACAAAAAUUACCUGGGCGUGGUGACUCACACCUGUAGUCCCAGCUACUCGGGAGGCUGAGGCAGGAGAAUUGCUUGAACCCAAGAGGUGGAGGUUGCAGUGAGCUGAGAUCACACCACUGCACUCCAGCCUGGUGAUAGAGCGAGACUCCGUCUUUAAAUAAAUAAAAUAAAAUAAAAUAAAAUAAAAUAAAAUAAAAUAAAAUAAAAUAGAUAAACAAAUAACUAAAAUUAACUGGGUAUGGUGGCACGCCUAUAGUCGUAGCUACUCAGGAAGCUGAGGUGGAAGGAUCACUUGAGCCUGGGAGGUCGAGGCUGCAGUGAGCCAUGAUGGAGCCACUGCAUGGCCAACAGAGCAAGACCCUAUCUCAAAAAUAAAUGAAUAAAUAAAUAAAUAA